rnacentral:lncRNA from 1 species
AUUUGAGUACAGAUCCUGGUCUGGCUGUCACUCUUUGUCAUAUUGUAGCUUCCAGAUGAAGGAUGCAUUGCAUGGCCUGAUCUUGCUCAUCAAGGAAACAUCAUUAGGGAUAGAAAACCUGAAUGAACACUAAUCAAUGCACAUCAUCACUGCUAAACCCUAUGUAUUACAGAAGGAAAACCAAACCACCUUAAAUUUCCCAUGAUUCAUUCACCCUUGGUUUUCCCUCUGAGCAUCCUUAUCAAAACCCAAAGACCUAACCUUGAGCUGAAGCUCAGCAACAGCAACAAAAAAGUUGAGAACCUGAGCUGGUUUCAGUAUCUGCACAACUCUCAAAGCUGUCUCAGUCCUCAAAGCAUCAGCAUUUG